rnacentral:rRNA from 1 species
UACGGAGGGGACUAGCGUUGUUCGGAAUUACUGGGCGUAAAGCGCACGUAGGCGGAUUUGUAAGUCAGGGGUGAAAAUCCCGGGGGCUCAACCUCGGAACUGCCUUUGAUACUGCAAAUCUCGAGUCCGGAAGAGGUGAGUGGAAUUCCUAGUGUAGAGGUGAAAAUUCGUAGAUAUUAGGAAGAACACCAGUGGCGAAGGCGGCUCACUGGUCCGGUACUGACGCUGAGGUGCGAAAGCGUGGGGAGCAAACAGGG